UUAUGACUUUAAUAGAAUGUUUUGAAAGCAGUCGGGAAGGUUAUUCCUUAAAAGUCAA
rnacentral:tRNA from 1 species